rnacentral:rRNA from 1 species
CGGGGGGCAGCAGUGAGGAAUCUUCCACAAUGGGCGAAAGCCUGAUGGAGCAACGCCGCGUGCAGGAUGAAGGCCUUAGGGUUGUAAACUGCUUUUAUAAGUGAAGAAUAUGACGGUAACUUAUGAAUAAGCACCGGCUAACUACGUGCCAGCAGCCGCGGUCAUACGUAGGGUGCAAGCAUUAUCCGGAGUGACUGGGCGUAAAGAGUUGCGUAGGUGGUUUGUUAAGUGAAUAGUGAAAUCUGGCGGCUCAACCGUACAGGCUAUUAUUCAAACUGGCAAACUCGAGAAUGGUAGAGGUAACUGGAAUUUCUUGUGUAGGAGUGAAAUCCGUAGAUAUAAGAAGGAACACCAAUGGCGUAGGCAGGUUACUGGACCAUUUCUGACACUGAGGCACGAAAGCGUGGGGAGCGAACCGGAUUAGAUACCCGAGU